UGAAUACGAGACGCUAAGGCGUCGAAGUAGUGUAUAUCAGACUUCCAAGAAAAGCUUGCACUGUCAUAGAUAAAAAAUGCCUGUACCAUAACCGACACAGGUGGGUAGGUAGAGUAUACUAAGGGGCGCGAGAUAACUCUCUCUAAGGAACUCGGCAAAAUAACUCCGUAACUUCGGGAGAAGGAGUGCCUUAUUUAUAAGGUUGCAAUAACAAGAUCCAAGCAACUGUUUAUCAAAAACACAGGUCUCCGCUAAGUCGUAAGACGAUGUAUGGGGGCUGACGCCUGCCCAGUGCCAGAAGGUUAAAGAAGUUGGUUAGCAAUUGCGAAGCUGAUAACUGAAGCCCUGGUGAACGGCGGCCGUAACAAUAACGGUCCUAAGGUAGCGAAAUUCCUUGUCGGGUAAGUUCCGACCCGCACGAAAGGCGUAAUGAUUUGGAUACUGUCUCGGAGAGGGGCUCGGUGAAAUAGACUUGUCUGUGAAGAUGCGGACUACCUGCACCAGGACAGAAAGACCCUAUGAAGCUUUACUGUAACUUGAAAUUGAAAUUGGACUUUAUUCGCGCAGCAUAGGUGGGAGGCGUUGAUUAUAAUCUUGCGGGAUUAUUGGAGCCAUCAGUGAGAUACCACUCUUGUAAUGUUAGAUUUCUAACUUUGAAUCAUUAUCUGGUCAAAGAACAGUUUCAGGCGGGCAGUUUGACUGGGGCGGUCGCCUCCUAAAUGGUAACGGAGGCGUACAAAGGUUUGCUCUGAACGGUUAGAAAUCGUAUCUAGAGUGUAAAGGCAUAAGGAAGCUUGACUGUGAGACCUACAAGUCGAGCAGGGACGAAAGUCGGUCUUAGUGAUCUGACGGUACUGAGUGGAAAGGCCGUCACUCAACGGAUAAAAGUUACUCUAGGAUAACAGGCUGAUCUCCCCCAAGAGUUCACAUCGACGGGGAGGUUUGGCACCUCGAUGUCGGCUCAUCGCAUCCUGGGGCGGUAGUACGUCCCAAGGGUUGGGCUGUUCGCCCAUGAAAGCGGUACGCGAGCUGGGUUCAGAACGUCGUGAGACAGUUCGGUCCAUAUCCGGUGUAGGCGUUAGAAUAUUGAGAGGAGCCUUCUUUAGUACGAGAGGACCGAGAAGGACAUACCUCUGGUGUACCAGUUAUCGUGCCAACGGUAAACGCUGGGUAGCUAUGUAUGGAGUGGAUAACCGCUGAAAGCAUCUAAGUGGGAAGCCCACCUCAAGAUAAGUAUUCCC
rnacentral:rRNA from 1 species